rnacentral:rRNA from 1 species
GACGAACGCUGGCGGCGUGCCUAAUACAUGCAAGUCGAGCGAAGUUUUUCUGGUGCUUGCACCGGAAAAACUUAGCGGCGAACGGGUGAGUAACACGUAAAGAACCUGCCUCAUAGACUGGGACAACUAUUGGAAACGAUAGCUAAUACCGGAUAACAGCAUUAACUGCAUGGUUGAUGUUUAAAAGUUGGUUUUGCUAACACUAUGAGAUGGCUUUGCGGUGCAUUAGCUAGUUGGUGGGGUAAAGGCCUACCAAGGCGACGAUGCAUAGCCGACCUGAGAGGGUGAUCGGCCACACUGGGACUGAGACACGGCCCAGACUCCUACGGGAGGCAGCAGUAGGGAAUCCUCCGCAAUGGGCGAAAGCCUGACGGAGCAACGCCGCGUGAGUGAAGAAGGAUUUCGGUUCGUAAAGCUCUGUUGUUAGGGAAGAAUGAUUGUGUAGUAACUAUACACA